AGUGAACGCUGGCGGCAGGCCUAACACAUGCAAGUCGAACGGCAGCACAAGAGAGCUUGCUCUCUGGGUGGCGAGUGGCGGGCGGGUGAGGAAUGCAUCGGAAUCUGCCCAUUUGUGGGGGAUAACCUCGGGAAACCGGGACUAAUACCGCAUACGACCUACGGGUGAAAGCAGGGGAUCUUCGGACCUUGCGCAGAUGGAUGAGCCGAUGCCGGAUUAGCUAGUUGGAGGGGUAAAGGCCCACCAAGGCGACGAUCCGUAGCUGGUCUGAGAGGAUGAUCAGCCACACUGGGACUGAGACACGGCCCAGACUCCUGCGGGAGGCAGCAGUGGGGAAUAUUGGACAAUGGGCGCAAGCCUGAUCCAGCCAUGCCGCGUGUGUGAAGAAGGCCUUCGGGUUGUAAAGCACUUUUGUUGGGAAAGAAAAGCAGCCGGUUAAUACCCGGUUGUCAUGACGGUACCCAAAGAAUAAGCACCGGCUAACUUCGUG
rnacentral:rRNA from 1 species